AGUUGGGAGAGAAAAGUUUGAGUCUAACAGCUUUCACUGAGCUUGUUCAGGUCAAGAACCACAGGAAGGGACAGGAUGGCUGGUCUAGUGCUUCACAGGGGAGAGGAGAGGUCAAGCAAUGUGUCAGAAACUCCCUGUUGCAAGAAGUGACCGGUAAGGAAUCCAGUGGCAACAGGAUAUGAAGUUCUUCCCUGCCCCACCACCAGCCUCCAUGCAGCACCCAGUUAGGGCAUUUGAAUAUACUGUUUGAUGCAUCUUAUGACAUUGGUGGCAGUUUUCAAUUAUUUGUGUAGAGUUUUGGUUUGGUUUUUCUUUAAAUCCCCAAAUGACUUGGGUCCAGAUGUAUGAAGGAGCAACUCAGGAAGUCUGCCUGGCUCCCUUCCUAUCAGGUUUAUAAAAGACUCGUAGAAGCCAUCUUUUUAACAGAACUUUAGGGAGCCCUGCUUCUCUUGCUGCCUUGACUGUUCCCCUUGGCCACUGGAGUUUAGCAAUAAGUUUAUGGUCUAAUUUCAUGGGGUUUUUUGUUAUGAUAUUGAUCUUACACUAGAAGCCACUGUAAGAACCUGCUACUGAGCUAGUCAAGAAGAGUCUAAAUGAAGGGAUGAAAUAUUAGUUGCCUUGCAAUCCAGCCUGUUUUAUUGAAGAUGCAUUGGUCUCAGCACCAGGGUUGGUGGGUGCAGGAGACAUGGAUGGGAGAGUUGAUUUGCUCCAUGAGCCCCCAACCCUCAUUGGUAUGUAAGUUUGCAUGUACUUUGCUUCAGGAUCCCAGACAGGGCCAACCCAAGACAUUUUGGUGCCUGGGAAAACCACAAAAUGGUACCCCCUCAUCACCAGAGAAUAAAAGGUGAGUGAAGAUCUACAUCAGAGAGGGGGGGAAGAAAGAUCUAUGCUGGGAUCUGCUGCCCCUGUGGAUCUUGCCACCCAAGGCAGACGCCUCACCUUGUCUCACAGGUGAUCCAGCCCUGAUCCUAGAGAGCAUUUAUCUCUUUCUAGGCACUCAGCCAGGCAUUGAAACCAGACUCCAAGGGAGAGUAUGGUCCUUUCUCAACUGGCAACAGAAGCUUGGGUGUCCCUAUUCUCAUGCCUGUUUUAAAUGUGGCACUGCAGAUUUUAAUCACUUUAAUUGGUAGAUUAAUGAACUAAAAGCUUUCACUGAUGGAUUGGCCAGGUUGCAAUUUUAAUCAGUGAGGACUAUUUUAAAGUAUUUUUGAAGCUAUUUGGGUUCUGACAUGUCGAAUAACAGAGGGGGGGAAAGAAAAAAUUCCAGAUGGCCUUUCCAUGUAACAAAGGAUGAGGGCUUUUUGUCUAUGAAAUAUAAAGUUCUCUCUUACUCCAAUACAGGCAAACACUAUUGAUGUUCUGCAAACUUAUUUAAAUGUAAUGGAUUAAUUAACCAAUUCUUUUUUAAAAAAUGCAGAUGAGCAAUUGUCAAGGCUGCCUCAAGUCUUAGCUCACAAAAGACCAACGCCUCUGUCUUCUUAUAUACAAAAGUGUUUAUUGCAGUUCAUGGUUUGCUUGACAUCCUAGGCGCGCAGCCUUACGUCUCUUACGCUAGACCGCCGAAGUCCCCUCUGAGUCAGUUCCUCCCCUGCACCAAUUUAAGAGACUUGCGCUGCUCCACCUCUUUCUCUCCUUCCUUUUCCGCAGGGUCCUUCUGCCCACUGGGGUUUCGCCCCUCCUGGAUUCCUCUGACGCGGAAUCCCCAGACUGCUCUUCCCCCCUCCUGCGGGCUUUGGGACCUGGCCCCUCCUCCGGGCUCCCUGCACUUCCGCGCGCCUCUACAUUUGAACUAGGCGCGCGCGCCAACCCUCUAACUUUCCUUUUGACAGUUACACUACUCCCUUCACUGCGUCCCUCCCCUUCCGGGAGGGCGGCUGCUCUGACCCCCUCCUUUCUCUGCUGCUGGAGCUGCUUCCUCUGACACACUGGAAACUCCACCCCCUUCGCUGCACUCUGGUGGGAGGCUGGUCCUGACGCCCAGCUGCCACUUUGGGAUCCUCCGCUGGCACCCUGCUCCUGACACUUCCCCCCUGGGGCUCCCUGGCCUUGACCACCGGCGCCCCCUUCUGGGAAUCCUCUGAUUCGCUGGAAAGACUCAUGGAAUCUCUUGAGUCAUUGUCAUCCUCUUCCUCGCUGGCUUGGAAUUCCUCCCCAUCGCUCUCCAUCUCCUGCCUACCCUGUGCCUCUCUCCCUGAACCCCUGACAUCCAUCCCCCCUCGAAGCCCCCCCUUCCCCCCUCCCGCUGCUCGGGCGCAGGUUCCGGGAGCUUCGUUGUAGCGGGGGUAGAUGCUGGAUACAGUUCGUCGACGUCGAUCUCCUCUGCUUCCAGUUCAGUGUAGGAGUGCUCGAAGCCAGGGUCCUCCCCAACACCUCCAAACCCUUCCCUCCCCUGUUACUUCAGGCGAGCUGCUUGCCAAGGCCCCCGUCGCCACCCCCCCUCUGGUUGAUCGUCCCACCAAUACGAGCGGUCCGUGUCUACCCCGAGCACGAUCCCCUUGGAGGGCUCGGUGCGGCGUGGUCUCCUCUGCGGAGGAGAACCCCGGAAGGUGCUGCCUGAAAGUGUGGGGGUAAAAGCCAGUCGUCAAAAUACUCCUCUGGCAUGGGCCUGUGUGGGAAGAGUGCAUGGAACUCGUCCUUAAGAAACGGUUCCUCCAGAGCAUAAUCUGGCACCCAACUGUUGGCGCUGGCGGCGUACCUUCCCUGGCGAGGAGGUAUUCCACUCCCUCCUCCCCCCAUCUCGAGUCCAGAAUUUCCGUGACCUCGUUGAGUGUCGGGGUCCUCGGUGACUUCCCCCCCCCCCGGUGACUUCCUACGUGGGUCUGGUGCCGUCCCUGGCUCCUGAAAUCGGUGUGGGGCCUUGUAGGGUGUAAGCACCGACCUAUGAAAGACCGGGUGCAUUCGGGAAUCCUCUGGGAGGGUCAACCGAAGCUACGGGAUUGAUCCUGCCCUCAACUUGGUAUGGCCCUAGCUGUUUGUGUCCUAGCUUCUUCUUAGCUAACGACUUGGCCGGCACCGCCUGGGCUGCUAACCAUACCCAGUCCCCACCUGGAUGUCUUCUCCUGCCCUCCUGUGCCUGUCUGCCUGCACUUUGUAGGCGUGUUUAGCCAGUUCCAAGUGCCGUCGUAGCUCCUCGUGGACCUCCUGCAAUUCUGCUGCUAAAUGUUCCGCUCCCUGCGACUCCCCCUGUGUCGUUGUCUCCAACGCCGGGAAUGUUCUGGGAUGUCGCCCAUUGUUGGCGAAGACGGUGUCACCCCCGUUGACGCGUGCUUCGUGUUGUUGUAGGCAAACUCGGCCAUCGGUAAGUAGUCCACCCAAGUUGCCGGCUUCUGAUUGGCGUAACAGCGCAGGUACUGCUGCAUGAUGGCGUUGACCCUCUCCGCUUGGCCGUUGGUUUGCGGGUGUCUCGCCGACGCUAAGUUGAUCUUGACAUUCAGGAUGCCCAGGAGCUUCUGCCAGAAACUGGAACUGCGUGGGCGACCCCGGUCGGACAAAAUGGACCGUGGUAAGCCGUGCACCCGGAACACGUGGUCUAUGAAUAGCCUGGCGGUCUGCUCCGCUGUUGCCACCUUCGCGCAAGGAAUGAAAUGCGCCAUCUUGGUGAACAGAUCUACAACCACAAGCACCGCCGUCUUGCCCCUUGAACUGGGCAGAUCAGUGACAAAGUCCAGCGCCACCCUUUCCCCCGGCUGCUGUGGCUUCUCCAACGGUUCCUGCAAUCCCGCUGGCUUCUUGUGCAGUGGCUUGGACCUCUCACAUGUGUCACACCUGGCGGCGUAAUCCGCGACUUCUCCCCGCAUCUGGGGCCACCAAAAGUCCCUGGCUACUAAGUCCGCCGUCUUCUCCUUGCGUCGUGUAACUGCUGUAAAACCUUCGCUCGGAGAUCGUCUCCCGGGACGUAGAGAGCACCUUUGCGGGUCAGCAGGCCGUCGCGUAUCUGGAAUUCGCCGUCCUUUGCUGUCCCUCUUCGCACCUCCUCCAUCUGGGCUUGAGCAAGCGGAUCCGUCUGUAACGCGCGUCGUACCGCGUCCAGGUCCACGGCGGCAGAGCGCACGCCCACGCUUGCGGUGCAAAAAUGUGCCUGGCUGCCACUGGUGCCGCUUCCUCAAGAUACUGCGGUUUCCUGGAGAGCGCAUCCGCUAUGGCGUUGUUGUCUCCCGGGAUAUACUCUAUCCGGAAAUCGAAAUCCGCAAAGAACUCCGCCCAUCUCAUGUGCCUCUGGCUCUGGAGCUUCGCCGUGCGCCAAUACUCUAGGUUCUUGUGGUCCGUGCGGACCUGCACGGUGUGCUUGGCUCCGAUGAGGAAGUGCCGCCACGCCUUGAAAGCCGCGUGGAUGGCCACCAACUCCCUGUCCCAGAUGGUGUAGUUCUGUUCCGACUUGCUGAGCUUCCGGGAAUAGAAAGCGCAGGGCCUCCAGUUCUCUUGCGAAUCUUCCUGCAAGAGGACGGCCCCCACUGCUCUGUCAGAUGCGUCAGUCUCAGCCCGCAUGGGCCUGCCGGGAUUCACGUGUAGCAGCUGGUCUUCGGACGCGAAGAGACUCUUAAGUCUCCUGAAGGACUGCUCCGCCUGGUCCGUCCAGGUGAACUUUUUCUUCUUGGAACUGAGGGUGUCCGUGAUAGCUGCCGUCUCUUUCGCGAAACCCCUGAUGAACUUGCGGUAAAAGUUGGCGAAGCCGGCAGACCUCUGGACCUCCUUCCGAUUGCGCGGGCUAUUCCAGUCCAACACCGCGCGGACCUUGGCGCUGUCCAUGGCUAAUCCCUUGUCGGACAGCCGGUAGCCCAGGAAAUCCACCUCCGUCACGUCGAACUGGCACUUCUCCAGCUUGGCAUAGAGUCUGUGCUCCCGUAGCCUCUGCAAGACCUCCUUUACGUCUCUUUCGUGAGUCUCCUGCGAUUCUGAGAAGAUCAGAAUAUCGUCGAGAAAGCAUACGCACUUCUUGUAGAGGAGUCCUGCUAGCACGUGGUGCAUGAAUGCUUGAAAGCAGUGGGAGCCACCUUGGAGACCAAUCGGCAUAACUCUGUAUUCAUAGGUGCCCAGCGGCGUGAACAUGGCCGUCUUCCACUCGUCACCUUCCCUCAUGCGUAUGAGAUUGUAGGCUCCGCGUAGAUCCAACUUGGUGAAGAUCCUCCCCUUCCUCACCGUCGCGAGCAGGUCGUCAAUCUUGGGCAUGGGGAAAGCCUUGGGUUUUGUCAUCGAGUUUAUGGCCCUAUAGUCCACAAUGAGCCGUUUUUGGGGCGUGUCCUUCUUCUUCACGAAAAACACAGGACUGCCCCCACUGCCUUGGAUUCUCGGAUGAAUCCCUCUUCAAAUUGUGAUCUAUGAACUCCCUGAGCUCCUGCAUCUCAUCUUCAGACAUGGAAUACAGCUUCGCAGUCGGCAGCGUCGCCCCUGGUAAGAGGUCAAUUGCACAGUCGUAGGGCCGGUGGGGUGGUAAUUGGUCAGCUUCCUUCUCGCAGAAGACCUCCAAAACCCCUUGUACUUGUGGGGCACUGCCUGCACCAUGCCUAGAUGCAGCUGUUGCCCUUCCUCCUGUUCCCUCCUCGUCCUGGCCGAUCUGGAUGCAAUGUUGUGCACAGUAGGACAGAGCCAAAGGUGAGCUGCCGCUGGUACCACGCCAAGGAUGGGCUGUGUCUAUCCAGCCAACUCAUGCCUAACACUAUGGGCGUGUCUGACAGUUGGGUGACAUUGAAACUGAUGACCUCGCGAUGAUUCCCAAUUUUCAGCAGCAUGGGUGGCGUCUGUUGUACCACUUGCCCACCCAGCAACUUCCUGCCAUCUACAGUGACCACAUUCAGAGGCAGCGUGGCUGGUAGUAAGGCUAUGCGAUGCUGCUUGACGAACUGCACCCCCACGAAGUCUGCGUUGCUCCCUGAGUCAAUCGUAAUGGGGACUUCCAGGGUGAGUCCAUUAGGCAGCUGGAGAGUAGCAGUGAGCUGCACCACUGGCUUAGGUGGUAAGGGGUCUGUAGGCUGCAAAGCGCUGGGGACUGCUUCACUGACUUGCCUGGCGGAGCCCCAGCGUCUCUCCCUCCAACCAGGCAUUCUCGUUUCCCUGAAACUGCUCCCCUUGGAAGCUUCCCCUGUUACUGUUGCUAAGGCUGCAGUGUGCUUCUGGAGCCUCUGGGGACACUCUUUAGCCAUGUGCCGUGCACUGUCACAGAUGUAACACUUCCUGGUCCCUCUAGGAGGCUUCGCUUUGACUGCUCCUGACGCUGAGGCUCCGGCAGCUGUCUGAGCCUUUGCACCACCCAGUUCCAUCGGUUCUUCCCCCGCUGCCAGCACAGGCGAAGGCUUGAACGUUCCAAGUCCCUGGAAGGAAAAGGAGGCGCUCUAGCUGGUGGGCGGACGUGACGCCCCUCCUCCCUGUGCCAAGGGCGUUCUUCUUGGCGCACCCCUAUCGUGAGUGCCCUCUGCACGACUUCUGCUAGGGUUUGAGGUCUGUCUCCCCUAGCCAGCUCAUCUUUCACUGAGCCAUGAAGCCCUUCCCAAAACAAGUCCCUCACUGCCAGGGAGUCCUUUUCCCAGCCCAGCACAUUCAGCAAUGCAAAAAGCGAGAAUGGUACUGACGCACUGUAGCCUUGCCCUGCCGCAAUCCAUGCAUCUCCUGGCGUGCCACAUCAACGUCAACAGUAGAUUGGAAGCAAGCGUCCAUGGCUUUGAGAAAUUCAUCAGAGUCCCUGCGUGCAAGACCAUCUUCGCGCCACAAAUUGCGUAACCAGUUUCUUGCUUCCCCAUGCAGAUGAGACACGAUAAACCCCACUUUUCCUCCUCAUCUUUGAAGUCUUUUCGAAGUAAAUGCAGUGCGUAUACGACGUCUGCUCUGAAAUUGGGAUAAUGCUUCAGGUUCCCAUCGAAGUGGGCUACUAAAUUGCCCCCCCUCCGUCCGAGUCCGAUUCCCUCUGAUCUGGAACCCGGGAACCCCUCUCUGCACGCCCGAUCCCACCUGGCUUGCAGAUCCUGGCAUCGCGCUUCUGCUUCAGCAACUGUCUUCUGAGAAACCACGACAGCAGUGGAGAGCUCGGUGACUGCGUUUUGCAGGGACGCUAUCUGCUCCUCAGUAGUCAUUGCUGCCAAACUUCGUGAGCUGUGCAAAAAAAAAUUUUGCGGUUUUUUUUGUGGAGAAGGGGACUUACUGUCAAGGCUGCCUCAAGUCUUAGCUCACAAAAGACCAACGCCUCUGUCUUCUUAUAUACAAAAGUGUUUAUUGCAGUUCAUGGUUUGCUUGACAUCCUAGGCGCGCAGCCUUACGUCUCUUACGCUAGACCGCCGAAGUCCCCUCUGAGUCAGUUCCUCCCCUGCACCAAUUUAAGAGACUUGCGCUGCUCCACCUCUUUCUCUCCUUCCUUUUCCGCAGGGUCCUUCUGCCCACUGGGGUUUCGCCCCUCCUGGAUUCCUCUGACGCGGAAUCCCCAGACUGCUCUUCCCCCAUCCUGCGGGCUUUGGGACCUGGCCCCUCCUCCGGGCUCCCUGCACUUCCGCGCGCCUCUACAUUUGAACUAGGCGCGCGCGCCAAACCUCUAACUGUCCUUUUGACAGUUACACUACUCCCUUCACUGCUCCCCUCCCCUUCCGGGAGGGCGGCUUGCUCGGACCCCCCUCCUUUCUCUGCUGCUGGAGCUGCUUCCUCUGACACACUGGAAACUCCACCCCCUUCGCUGCACUCUGGUGGGGAGGCUGGUCCUGACGCCCAGCUGCCACUUUGGGAUCCUCCGCUGGCACCCUGCUCCUGACACUUCCCCCCUGGGGCUCCCUGGCCUUGACCACCGGCGCCCCCUUCUGGGAAUCCUCUGAUUCGCUGGAAAGACUCAUGGAAUCUCUUGAGUCAUUGUCAUCCUCUUCCUCGCUGGCUUGGAAUUCCUCCCCAUCGCUCUCCAUCUCCUGCCUACCCUGUGCCUCUCUCCCUGAACCCCUGACAGCAAUAAACUAAAAAAGAACUUUUUGUGGUUUACAAUACUCAUUAAGGUGAACUUUCUGGGGCACAUCUCCUGCUGUGAAUGAAUGCUGAAUCUCUGUGCAAACUGGGGUGCCCCAUGGCUGACACUCUGCAGCAUCCUACAGUGAAGAAUGGAAGGUCACUGGGGCAGCCAACAGCCAGAGAGUGCUUUAGAAAAUUCAGUGGGCCAAAAGCAGGCACCUGUGUGAGCUCAAAUGUACAUAUGAUGAUGAAGGACUAUGUGAGUGGAUGGAGGAAGUUGAUUUUUGCUUGCAUUGUAGCAAAAAGCUACCUAAUUCACACUUCUCAAACCAAUAUGCAAACUAAACCACACCUUUUUUGAAAUUUGCAUCUCUUUGAAUUUUGCAAUGUCGUUCUACAGCUAAAUGGUACAAAAAUACAUAAAUUUGGAGGGAGUGUGCAUGAAAAUGCAUAUAUUUCUUCUGGACAGCAAUAAUACAAGAAAUCUGCAAAAUAACUAAGCAAGUAUUAGAAGUCACCCCAGAACUGGCCCUACUAAAUAUCUUCCAAGACAAUAAUGCCCACUCACAACACAAAGAGCUCAUAAUUCACCUACUCUCAGCAGCCAGAAGCACCAUAGCCAGACACUGGAGAGACCUGUCAGGAGUAAGCAUAGACCAAAGGUAUCAAAUAGUAUGGGAAACAGCCCUACUAGAAAAACCAACUAACAAACUGAAACUGACAUGGGGACAAAUAGAAGAUGCCUUCACCCCCGUAUGGCUCCCCUUUAUCACAUACGCAGCCCAACAAGACAACGACAAGAAUCCAUCAACAGCAUACAAAUCAAUCUGGCUAGCCUGAUUAAAAAAUACACAUUCACACCCCACUCACACACAAAAACAAUUCUCACUACAGCCAACCAAAGACAACCAACCACCCCACCCCGAACCUCUCUCACCACCAAGGAAAUACAACAAGUGAAUAGUAAGAGAACCCAUACAAGUGAUGCUGACACAACACACCCCCCCAAAGGAAUAAUAGAAGCAUAACGACCCUCCACCCUCCCCCUCCCCUCCUCCCUUUCUUCUUCUUCUUCCUAAUUGUUUAAACCAAUUCAUGAACCAAUAACUUAUACAUUGACCACCAAUAAUGAAAUAUAUGUUGUAGAUAUUUUUCCACAUUUAUUAUGCUAUUUUUGUGAUAUACAUAUGAUAUGAGAAAAUUUGGUAUACUUAUUUGUAUAACAUUAUUCUUGUUUAUAAAACCCAAUAAAUAAAUAAAAAUGCAGACAUAUUAGAUCUGGAAGGCCAAGAUUUAAAAUUUGGCUGGCAUGCAUGCCUUUGGUAUGCAUUUUAUGAACCACAUUAUUAGGAAGAAUUUGUACAGAGUCUGGGAGAAAUAAAAAAAUCUGUUAGAAAAGAAAACACCCUUAUGACUAUCUCCCAUUGAAGCAAUUACAAUCAAGAGAGUAGAUUUGGAUAGACAAUGGGCAACUUACAGGGAUUUGCUGGACUUUACGGGGGGGGGAGGACCCAGAGUGAAACCUAUGGAAGAAGAAGAAGAAGAAGAAGAAGAAGAAGAGGAGGAGGAGGAGGAGGAGGAGGAGGAGGAGGAGGAGGAGUUUGGAUUUGAUAUCCCGCUUUAUCACUACCCAAAGGAGUCUCAAAGCGGCUAACAAUCUCCUUUCCCUUCCUCCCCCACAUCAAACACUCUGUGAGGUGAGUGGGGCUGAGAGAAAUCAAAGAAAUGUGACUAGCCCAAGGUCACCCAGCAGCUGCAUGUGAAGGAGCGAGGAAUCGAACCCGGUUCCCCAGAUUACGAGUCCACCGCUCUUAACCACUACACCACACUUCUGCCAGGUCUUAACCAUGAUAAUCCACUGGGUGAGAUGCCCUGCCUCCACCCCUCACUCAGCAAAUAAUUAUUCUUGCUCAACCUGCCCUUGUUCCACCUCAUUAACACAUCAGGGAAGGGGGUAGUACUUUUCUGAAAACCUAAAGUUGGAACUUAAUAUGCCAUGUUUCACACCCCCACACCCCAAUGUUUCAUCUACACUGCAACUCCUCCAAAAGCCUUUACACCUACUGGACAUAUCAGCACCUUUGCCAGGGGAUGCAGCUGCAAAGGUUUGUAGUCACAUCAGUAGGGAUGCCUACACAGCGUCCCCUUCAUGUUUGGUACUUGGGACAAAUAUCCCACCUGCCCCAUGGGCAAGCUGUACUGCACGUUCCCUGUCCUCAUUUUCUAAGCAUAUGGAUCCCCACCAGCCCCUCCUCCAGUUCCCCUGAUGCUUACAUUCUAUGGCCCACCUCCCUCUCUCAGGAUUUCUGCUCAGUGCUGGUCGAAUGAGUAUUAAUAAACAGCUUUGGAAUGAGUCACCUUCCUCCCCACUCCCACCAGGCAAUUAACUCCAGAUCUGCAGAUAACGAGCUCUACGGGGCUGUCAUUGCCCAAGUACAAAAGGCUCUGCUGUGUUCGCGUCAGAUAAACCCCCCUAAGCCUCUGUGGCAGUAUUAAAAAUCCUGGGUUUUGAAUUAGGCAGGCAAGUGAUGGGCAGAAAAGGUGGAACAGGGACUGCAUGAGGCAGCCCUUGUAUUUUCUGAGAAAAGUGUCUGAACUUCCCGGAAUUAUUUCCUUCCUAUCCUCAUCUGACUUCCAUUAGCAGAUUCCUAAGGGGCCCAGCCAUCACCCUGUGUUACUGUUUGGGGGCCUCUAUACCAUUGCAGCUCUGAUAAAGCAAGGACUAAAGGCCAAGAAGCAGUUGGCUAGUUCAAUCCAGUAUGGGAAAUUCAGUCUCACUGCUGCUUUGGUCUCCCUGACCCACAAGCACACAGCCAGCCCACCAACCUCCUUUCCCUAUCUGCUGCCCUCCAGCCAACAGCACAAUGCUCUUCCCUGUUCCCCUAGGCUGCCUCCAGUACCUCUUUUUGUCUCCUGCAUCUUUCAGCUUGCAAUCUCUUGCAGUCCUCUUUGUCAUCGCUUAUUCAUUUAAGAGUUUUUCCUAGUCAAACCUGGCCUUCACUGCUGGCUUUAUGAUGAAGUAAUGCGGAGCAGCUGAGUUCAGUUCAGUUCAAUUUUAAGCAGCAUCUUCAGGCAACGACUGCGGGAGAAGGAGGCCUUAUAUUUUCCUGCCUCUAAUUGCUCCGCAUGUGUGGCAUUUUAGCAGCAAAGCUCCAGGCGAGAGUACUAGCUCAUUUUGACUUGGUUGCUUCUGGUCUUGAAAUUUGUAAGGCGAAUUACUGCUUUCUUCCCUUGCAGUAAUUGUACUUUUGUCAACAUGCUGUUAUACCGAAGGUUUUCCCUCGGAUCAGUUAGAAUUGCCCUGAACAUUCCAUGACAUCACAGCAGUGCAGCCAAUGACUUUGGGAGAACAGAACUGCCAAUCACGUGUUUUUAGCAUGUGUCAUGCGUAGGAAACGGGACACCCCCUUCUGCCAAGACUCUCACAAUGACGCAGGAGGAAAGGCAGCUGUGCCAUCUGUUUUCCUUCCCCGCCUGCAGGCUGGCAUAGCUGGAGACCUGGGACGCUUUCAGAUUGUGGCAAUAUGGGGUAGGGUUCAAUCACAUACCCACAAAUUCAGGUUCCACAGUUAAAACCAAUUUUGGCAUUUCUGUGCAACAAACCUGCUUCCCACCCACCCCAACUUUUUGCAAAUAUCAGGAUGGCUGCUCCAUCUGGACCUGGACCACAGCUGCUACAAAAGCCUGGGGGGACCUGGAACCCCCCUAAAAAAGCCAGCCAGACCCUAAUGCACCCCUUUCUCCUACACAGCCCCCCACCUUACUUUCCUCUCUACUAUACCCCACCCAGCUACACAGGCCCCCAACAGCCCCUAGAAACAUGUAGUGAGACACGGCUACCUUUCUCCCCCCAUGACCUCGAACUUACCACAGUGGGUUUUGUUCCCCUUCCUCACAGUUUCCUUCCCUCGCUAUCCAGCUCUUGUUUAAACUCUUUCCUGCACACACACCCCAUUACCUGCCCGGCCCCCAUCUCUGCCCUGACAAUGCUGCAGCUGGAAGAGGGCAGUGGCCCUGAGCGGCUGCAGCCCACCCUGGCAACACGAGGACGUGCCUGCCGCCAUGUACCCAGCGGGCAAGCCGAACCAGCACCACCACCUCAACCCCCUCGGGCAAGGUGAUCACGCCAGCAGCUCCCAAACAUCCAGCUACAGACCCUUUCUCACUGCUGCUGUGACUGAGCCACCCGUGGGAAGCCCCUGGCAUGCUAGGGGCAGCUAGGCUGCUGCAUUGCCUUCCUCCCUCCCUCCCCCCUCCUCCCUCUCCCUCCCCUCCCCCCCGCCAAGGGAAGUGACCUCUUGUCACUUCCACUGCCACCAGGACACCGCCUCCCCUAGAAAAAUAAAAAACCAGGGGGAAAACAGAAAACUGAAAAAACCCAGGUCACCAUAUGUUUAGGAAAUACAGGAUAUCUCUUAACAUUAAAAACUCCCUGUCCCACCCCCACCCCAGACACCAUUUUAGGCGUCCAAUUUCUGUACAUGUCCAGAAUUUCCCAGAUGUAUAAGAGCUAUUUUGAUAAUCAUUAGCUCCAUGACCUGUAUAAACUGUGUUUUGGAGGAAAUUGGUACUUUGGAAUGUUCACCACUUCCUGCAAUAUAUCCCUGUGUUGUGGGUGACCAACAGAUGAACCCCACAAGCCCUGAAAGAGGCCGAGGCCACAUCCACACCAUAAUACGGUACCACCUUAAAGAGUCAUGGUUGUAGUUGAUGGAGGGUGCUGAGAGCUGUUAGGAGAUCCCUAUUAUCCUCUUAGAGCUGCAGUUUACAGAGCAGUUUAGCAGUCAAUCCCACUUCACAGUGAACUCUGCAACUUGUAGCUCUAUGAGGAAAACUCAGCACUCUUAACAAACUGCACUUCACAGGGUUCUUGGGGUGGGGAAGCCACCCCUGUUUAAAGUGGCCUCGUUGUGCUUUCAAUGUGCUGUGUGAAUGUGGCCGGAUACUUCAAGGUCAGAAGGCUAAAGACCCACCACCUAUUACCCAGUGGACUUUCCACUUUUGAACACCUAUCUUAAAAUCAGCAAUCUCAUUGGGAUACUUAUUUGGACAGAUUAACUUCUUGUAUUGAUAUAUUUGCUUGUUAGGUUUGAUGAAUUGUUCUCUUUUUGAACAGAUUAUUUGUACUGUUAAUGGGGACUGCUGAUGCUUAUGGGAUGGUGCCCUCCCUCCACCCCUUCCUUUUUCUUGUACAGUGGUGCCUCGCAAGACGAAAUUAAUUCGUUCCGCGAGUUUUUUCGUCUUGCGGUGUUUUUCGUCUUGCGAAGCACGGUGUCGGAAAAGUUUUGGAAAAGCUUCAAAAAUCACCAAAGUCUUCAAAAACCUCAAAAAAGGCUACCACACCGCGUGCUAUGAGUUGCUCCUCGAAGUCAAGUCGCAACUGUAUUAACGGUUUUAAGAAAAAGGAAACAAACUUGCAAGACGUUUCCGUCUUGCGAAGCAAGCCCAUAGCGAAAAUCGUCUUGAAAAAGCAACUCAGAAAACCAAAAACCCUUUCGUUUUGCGAGUUUUCCGUCUUGCGAGGCAUUCGUCUUGCGAGGUACCACUGUAAUUGCAAUUUUAAAAAGUAAAAGCCAUGGUUUUGCCCAUCAGCUGGCAACUCUGAGAGCACCCAUUUGCCUGCACUAAGAAACAUCUGCACGCAGAGGCUUAUUAGGCUGGUCCUGAAUCUUUAAUGAUUGCUCUACCUGCAGCUGUGCCACUCCAGCUGAAAACCCUUCUCCCUUUUCACAGCUUUUAAACAUGCAGGAGCACCUUGGCUACCCUGAGGCGCACGUAUCACAAACUGGCACACUCUGCCCUUUCUUACACAAUCCCAGUCUCGUGCCUUCAUGCACACAGCAGCACUAGGCAACAGCAUCUAGGGAACAGCCUUUGGUCCCUGGCUGGGAGCAGCUCUUCAAAGUUUCAGGCAGGGAGUCUGGGGCAGCUCUGCUGCGGUGCGACAGCAGCCUUCCUCCCCUUGUUCACAGUCUGCUCUCAUCUCGCAGUCCUGUGCCUGCCCUUUCUCUCUCUCUCUCUCUCUCUCUCUCUCACACACACACACACACACACACACACACCUCCCAUCAUUCCACUUUGGGCAAACAGAUUAAUGGAACAAUAUCAUGCUGUCUGGAAAAAGGAUAAUGUAAUGAAAAAGGAUUCACUGGUGCCAUUACUAAAACAGCAAUCUCUUCCAGGAGGCUCCCCUGCUGAGAAAAUUAGUAGCUUCUUAAUUAAUUUGAAAUUAUAUUGGUCAUUAAUACAUCAUUAUAUUUGCACUUGCUAUGCUCCUGGCACCGGAAUCAAGUCAGCAAACCAGAACCCAGCAGCACUGAUGACACAGACAGGGAUGGUUGGGCAAUAGCUGAGGCCCAUGCUCUGGAAGGAGAGUCCCUUGCCCCACCAAGAGCCCCCCUAGGUUGGAUGCUGCUCAUCCCCAGUCUUGCCUCCUGGCCCAGAUGGGGCUGCUGGGCAACAUCAGCCAAGGACACAGGAAGCUGCCUUUUACUGAGUCACAGGAAAAUGGAUGAAAUGCAAGAGCUAGAACUUUACAGCAUUCCAGAUUCUACAAGUCUAGGACUUUUGUGUUUUUUAAAGACACUGGCUGCUAUAGUGCCAUGGGGGGUGGGGGAUCAGGUUCCACAGGUUCCUUCCAGCUUGUCAACCUCAGAUUCAUUAUUCCCGCCCCCCGCCUCCCCAAUCACUAGAAUCAGGCUCAAAACCAGGAACCUGGCUCAGUUCCUUUCCUAGUGACAUUGUAACAUCUGAUUCAGUGCCCACGUCAGGGCUAGACUCAGGUGGUUCGCAAUUUAACGGAACCACCUUUACCACCGGGGCCUUGUAAAGACCCCAAGAUCUCCUGCAACGAUUUUGCAAAGUUUUUUGCAGAUAAAGUCGCUCAUAUUCAAAAGAAGGUAGACACCACUGUGGGAGCAGGGCCGGGGGGGCAGAGUGCUAGAGCCCUGUCUAGUCAAGUUGCAUGGAAUCAAUUCCAAUCCGUUAUCCCCAAGGAUGUGGACAGGCUGCUUGGAUGCGUGAAACCAACCACCUGUCUCCUUGAUCCUUGCCCAUCCUGGCUGAUAAAAGCAAGCCGGGAAGGGCUGGGUGAUGGGCUCUGCGGGGUGGUGAAUGCUUCCCUCUGCGAGGGAGACAUCCCAGACGUGCUGAAAGAGGCGGUCAUUAAACAGCUUCUUAAAAAACAUCUUUAGACCCGGCCAAUAUGGCCAACUAUCGUCCAGUCUCAAAUCUACCAUUCUUGGGCAAGGUGAUUGAGCAGGUGGUUGCUGAACAACUCCAGGCACGCCUGGAGGAUGCAGACCAUUUGGAUCCCUUCCAGUCAGUAUUCAGGCCUGAUCAUGGGACUCAAACUGCCUUGUUGCGCUGGUUGAUUAUCUCCGGUGGGCUAGGGACAAAGGUGAGAGCUGUUUCUUAGUUCUGCUGGAUCUCCCAGCGGCCUUUGAUACAAUUGACCAUAGCAUCCUUCUGGACUGUCUAAAGGGGCUGGGAGCUGGGGGCACUGUUAUACAGUGGUUCCGCUCCUUCCUCCUGGGCCGUGUUCAGAGAGUGGUGGUGGGGGAUGAGUGUUCUGACCCCUGGGCCCUCACUUGUGGGGUGCCUCAGGGUUCCAUCCUCUCUCCCAUGCUUUUUAACAUCUACAUGCAGCCACUGGAAGAGAUCAUCAGGGGGUUUGGACUGGGUGUCCAACAAUAUGCAGAUGCUACCCAGCUCUACCUCUCUUUCAAAUCAGAACCAGUGAAGGCGGUGAAGGUCCUGUGUGAGUGCCUGGAGGCAGUUGGAGGAUGGAUGGCGGCUAAUGGAUUGAGGUUGAAUCCUGACAAGACAGAAGUACUGUUCUUGGGGGACAGAGGGCAGGCUGGUGUGGAGGACUCCCUGAUCCUGAAUGGGGUAACUGUGCCCCUGUGAUCUCAGAACCACUGGCAGUCAUCUUUGAGAAUUCCUGGAGAACAGGCGAAGUCCCAGCAGACUGGAGGAGGGCAAAUGUUGUCCCUAUUUUCAAAAAGGGGAAAAGAGAGGACCCAAAUAAUUACCGCCCAGUCAGUCUGACAUCAAUACCAGGGAAGAUUCUGGAGCAGAUCAUUAAGCAAACAGUCUGUGAGCACCUAGAAAGGAAUGCUGUGAUCACCAAUAGUCAGCAUGGAUUUCUGAAAAAUAAGUCAUGUCAGACUAACCUGAUCUCGUUUUUGACAGAAUUACAAGCCUGGUAGAUGAAGGGAACGCAGUGGAUGUAGCCUACCUUGAUUUCAGCAAGGCAUUUGACAAGGUGCCCCAUGAUAUUCUUGUAAAGAAGCUGGUAAAAUGCGGUCUUGACUAUGCUACCACUCAGUGGAUUUGUAACUGGCUGACUGACCGAACCCAAAGGGUGCUCAUCAAUGGUUCCUCUUCAUCCUGGAGAAGAGUGACUAGUGGGGUGCCACAGGGUUCUGUCUUGGGCCCGGUCUUAUUCAACAUCUUUAUCAACGACUUGGAUGAUGGACUCAAGGGCAUCCUGAUCAAAUUUGCAGAUGACACCAAACUGGGAUGGGUGCCUAACACCCCAGAGGACAGGAUCACACUUCAAAACGACCUUGACAGAUUAGAGAACUGGGCCAAAACAAACAAGAUGAAUUUUAACAGGGAGAAAUGUAAAGUAUUGCACUUGGGCAAAAAAAUGAGAGGCACAAAUACAAGAUGGGGACACCUGACUUGAGAGCAGUACAUGUGAAAAGGAUCUAGGAGUCUUGGUUGACCACAAACUUGACAUGAGCCAACAGUGAGCGGCAGCUAAAAAGCCAAUGCAAUUCUGGGCUGCAUCAAUAGAGUAUAGCAUCUAGAUCAAGGGAAGUAAUAGUGCCACUGUAUUCUGCUCUGGUCAGACCUCACCUGGAGUACUGUGUCCAGUUCUGGGCACCACAGUUCAAGAAGGACACUGACAAACUGGAACGUGUCCAGAGGAGGGCAACCAAAAUGGUCAAAGGCCUGGAAACGAUGCCUUAUGAGGAACGGCUAAGGGAGCUGGGCAUGUUUAGCCUGGAGAAGAGGAGGUUAAGGGGUGAUAUGAUAGCCAUGUUCAAAUAUAUAAAAGGAUGUCACAUAGAGGAGGGAGAAAGGUUGUUUUCUGCUGCUCCAGAGAAGCGGACACGGAGCAAUGGAUCCAAACUACAAGAAAGAAGAUUCCACCUAAACCUUAGGAAGAACUUCCUGACAGUAAGAGCUGUUCGACAGUGGAAUUUGCUGCCAAGGAGUGUGGUGAAGUCUCCUUCUUUGGAAGUCUUUAAGCAGAGGCUUGACAACCAUAUGUCAGGAGUGCUCUGAUGGUGUUUCCUGCUUGGCAGGGGGUUGGACUUGAUGGCCCUUGUGGUCUCUUCCAACUCUAUGAUUCUAUGAUUCUAUGAUUCUAAACCUUGAGAGACUAUUUUGAAAUAAAUAUGAAUACUAAUGUAGAAAAAAGAGUAAUCUGGGGCGCAAGUAAAGCUGUUAUGAGAGGGUUUCUGAUACAACAGAAUGCAAUAAAGAAGAGAAGUCAAAAUGAGAAGAAAGAUAAAAUUUUGGGGAAAAUAAAAGAAAGUGAAAAGAAAUUGAGAGCAAAACCAAAGUCGCAGGAGAUUUUGAGAGAAAUAAAGUUAUAUCAAGUACAAUAUAUGGAAAUGAUGAAUCAAGAAAUAGAAUGGAAAAUUAAACAAAUGAGACAAAAAACAUUUGAAUCAGCCAACAAAUGUGGGAAAUUGCUGGCCUGGCAAAUGAAAAAAAGACAAAAACUAAAUACUAUUACAAAUUUAGAAGUGGAAGGAAAGAAUAUACAUAACCCAACUGAGAUUAGAAAUUGUUUCCAGAGGUAUUUUAAACAACUAUAUACACAAGGGCCACAGAAGGAAAUGGAUAUAGACCGAUUUCUGAAGACAAAUGGAUUACAAAAAAUAUCCCAAGAAAGUAAAUUAAUGCUGAAUUACAAAAUAUCUGAACAGGAAGUAGAAGGUGCCAUUCAAAACAUGCAAUUAGGCAAAUCUCCAGGACCGGAUGGGCUGACUUCUAGAUAUUAUAGAUCUUUGAAAGAGUGGCUAUUACAACCUUUAAAGGAAGUCUGCAAUGAAAUAUUGGAAGGGAAAAGAGCACCAGAGUCUUGGAAAGAGGCGUACAUUACACUUAUACCGAAGACAGAGACUGAAAAGACUCAGCUUAAGAACUACCGCCCCAUAUCCUUACUCAAUGUGGAUUACAAAAUUUUUGCAGACAUUUUGGCCAAGAGAUUGAAAAAAGUAUUGAUGGAAGAGAUUCAUAAAGAUCAAGUGGGCUUUCUCCCGGGAAGACACUUGUCCAAUAAUUUGAGGAAUAUAAUUGAUAUUUUGGAAAAACUAGAAGUGAACAUAAAUACCAAAGCUGUUUUGAUAUUUGUGGACGCGGAGAAAGCUUUUGAUAAUAUCUCUUGGAGUUUUAUGAAGAAGAACCUACAGGGGAUGGGGGUAGGCCAAGGUUUUGAAAACGGUAUAAGUGCAAUUUAUUCAGAGCAAAAGGCUAAACUAAUUGUAAAUAAUGUGGUGACGGAAGAAUUUAAGAUAGAAAAAGGGACAAGACAAGGUUGCCCAUUUUCCCCAUUGCUUUUUAUAUCGGUCCUGGAGGUUCUGCUGAACAUGAUUAGAAGGGACCGGUUGGUUAAAGGUAUACAGGUCGGAGCCAAACAGUACAAACUGAGAGCAUUUGCAGAUGACUUAGUAUUGACGUUACAGGAGCCAGAAUCUAGUACCAAAAGAGUUUUAGAACUGAUUCAAGAAUUUGGUCAAGUUGCAGGAUUUAAGUUGAAUAAGUUAAAGACCAAGGUUUUAGAGAAAACUUUAACACCAAUGGAGAGAGAGAGGUUUCAGAAUGAGACAGGUUUAACAGUGGUUAAGAAAGUUAAAUAUUUGGGGAUUAACAUGACAGCAAAAAAUGGGAACUUAUUUAAAGACAACUAUGAAAAAUGCUAGGCUGAAGUGAAAAAAGAUUUGGAAAUUUGGUCAAAUUUGAAGCUUUCACUGCUGGGCCGUAUUGCUGCGGUAAAAAUGAAUGUAUUGCCUAGAAUGUUGUUUUUGUUUCAAACAUUGCAAAUUGUGGACAAAAUGGAUUGUUUCAAGAGGUGGCAGAGAGAUAUUUCUAGAUUUGUCUGGCAGGGCAAGAAGCCUAGAAUAAAAUUUAAAAUAUUAACAGAUGCAAAGGAAAGAGGUGGAUUUGCCCUGCCAGACUUUAAACUUUACUAUGAAUCAGCAGCUUUCUGCUGGUUGAAAGAAUGGUUGCUUCUUGAAAACACUGACAUUUUGGAUUUAGAAGGUUUUAACAAUGUAUUUGGAUGGCAUGCAUAUCUGUGGUAUGAUAAGGUCAAAGCACACAAAGCAUUUAAAAAUCACAUCGUCAGGAAAGCAUUGUUUAAUGUCUGGAUAAGAUACAAGGACUUAUUGGAAAAUAAAACUCCAAGGUGGUUGUCACCGAUGGAAGCAAAAGCUCUGAAAAAGCUCAAUAUGGAGGCCAAAUGGCCGAAAUAUUGGGAAAUUUUGGUUUCUAGCUGUAAUGCUUUAAGGGAAUAUGAAAAAGGGGUUAUUAAGAGGUAAAAAUCUAAUGUUAUUAUUUUAAGACCAAAGAUUAGGAUAAACAAAGAGGGUAAGGAUUUGCUGAACCAACAAACUGAACUGGAAUACAAAAAAGGGAGGUAUGAGGAGGUCCGGGAAACAAACUAAAGAAAAAUAAGCAAUGGAAAAUCUGAGUGUUUUUAAUCAUUUUUAUUUUGUAUUUUUUUUCUUUUUCAUUUUUUAUUGUAAUAUUUUUAAAAAAUCUAAUAAAUAUCUUAUAAAAAAUAAUAAUAAUGUGUGACAUUUUAGUGUAUUUUUGGGUCUUUGUUGGAAGCUGCCCAGAGUGGCUGGGGAAACCCAGCCAGAUGGGUGAGGUAUUAUUAACAACAACAAUAAUAAUAAUAAAUAUUUAAAUUAUGUUUCUGAGGAUUUGGGCUUAACUCUGUGCUUUCUCAUCAGAAAAUAGCUUCUGGUUCCAUGUUUGCAUUAUGUAUUACUGCUUUUGCUUCCACUCAAGCCAGAGGCUCCACCACCUACCAUGAGUCUGCUUCUCCAUCUUGGAGUCAACUUAAACCCUGAAGUAGCUAAGGACUGAAAAUCAGCCUCUGUAAAUUAAUGAAGAAUUUCCCAAAGAGGAGAUGUUGUAUUAAUGGGUGACUUCAACUACCCUCAUUGUAAAUGAACGCUUUAAAUGAAAAUUUAUUAUUAUGCAUUGCAACAGACUGAAUAUUACGUUGAAUAGAAAAUUCUUAAACCUGGAUAGUUCCAUCAGUAAAGCAUGAGACUCUCUUCUCAGGGUCAUGGGUCUGAGCCCCCAAUUGGGCAAAAAUAUUCCUUCCUUGCAGGGGAUUGGAUCAGAUCACCCUUCUGGUCCUUUUCAACUCUACAAUUCUACAAUCUGCUAUUCUACUUGUGGAAUGUAUUAUAAUUUUUAAAAUGUAAUUUGAAUCCUGAAGCACUGUUCAUGGGGGGAGGGAGUAAUCUAUGUUUAUAGUUACUUUUGUAAUACAGUUUAUUAAAAAAAACUCACUACCCUCAUGUAGACAUAUGUGUUCCAGUCAUGACAAAGAGAUUACAUUUCUAGAUACACUAAAUGACUGUGCACUAGAACAGUUGGUCUUGGAAAGACCAUAUUUUUCCAGCAAAUCUAAUCUGUAAUAGGAAGCUCUUUAUAUAGUCGUACCUUAGUUUUCGAACAGCCUAGUUCUCAAACAUUUUGGCUCCUGAACAAUCAAACCCCAGAAGUGACUGUUCCAGUUAUCGAACGUUCUUUUGGAAGCCGAACAUCUGACGGGACUUCUGCAGCUUCCGAUUGGCUGCAGGAGCUUCCUGCAGCCAAUCAGAAGCUGAGCUUUGGUUUUCGAAGGCUUUGGAAGUCAAACGGACUUCGAGAAUGGAUUCUGUUCAACUUCCAAGGUACGACUGUAUUUCUUCCUGUCCAGGAGAAACCAAAGGACAGCCUGGGGGUGGGUGAAGUCAAUCCAGGCUGGGUUGAAGGUACUUCAUAGAGAAGGUUGCCUUCUGCCCCUGAACAGCUCAUCCCACAUGGCAGCUGCUCAUCAUCAGCAAGGCCUUGGAGGCAGAUUUAGGGCAAUGAGACUGGUUCUGCCGCACAAAGUGCCAGGUCUAGGAGGUGCCACAGCCGUUGCAACUAUGAUGCAGUGAACUGAGCAGAACGGAAGGUGAGGAGCAGGGGGUGCUGAAUUUUGGCCUCGCACAGGGCACCGCUGAGAUUUGAAAGACCAAAGUCCACCCCUGGUGGCCUGCCUGAGCUGGGCCCAGCAUUGCCCUGCCAUGUGGAGCAGCCAACAAGGAAGCCAACACAACAAGGUCAACAGAUUCAGGAGUGCCUCACUCUGCUUCUGAUCCUCCCUUCACUAUCUAAGGCCAUUGCACCACAGAGACUUCCUUCCUUUCUGAUGAAUAAGCUGCCACAAAUAGGCCCUGAUUAAUCAUGUUUGUACCUGACAGGGCUCUGAACCACACUGUUUGCCAACACCAAGCCAGAGAGGGCUCCUCAUUUGCCUUUGAGGUCUAAUCAGGCAGAAAGGAGGCUCAGAAUGUGCUGCUAGGAGAAGCCAGGUGGCUGCCUCCAAGUCCCUAGCUGCCAGCUCACAGCGUACAACAAAGGACACCGGCUCUUUAUCUGCAGGAGCUAAUUGCAUGCUAUUUUCUUCUAGCUGGUGGUUCCGGAUCAUUCAUCCUCACCAAUUAGGGAGGAAACAGAGAGAUGCUGUUGGACAGGGAGGCAGAGGCAGCAAUUGUCCUUCAGGAAACUGAAGAGUCAGGCAGCAGGCUUCAUGAGGCAUCAGAAGAAAGCCCAUCUGCACAGCGCUGGGAAAAUGCAGAGUGAUCCAUACGUAGGAAAUCACAGAUUUAGAGGCUGGUGAUCAGGGUGGUACAUAUUUGGCCCUUUUGCCCAUGCAGGAUUUAUGUAGAGGUGUCCUCAGUGGGUAACCCUUGCUUAGAGAACUCCUCCCCACAGAAGGAGUCACCAGAGCAAAGGCUCAAUCCAUUCUGAAGCAUUCUUAUGUUGGAGGCUGCAGUGAAGCUCAUAUAGGGUUAGCUGAGGCAUGAGGAAUCUUCAUUCAUUCAUUCAUUCAUUCAUUUAUUCCCCAGCCACUCUGGGCAGCUCCCAACACUAUAUUAAAAACACAAUAAAACAUUAAACAUUAAAAAACUUCCCUAAACAGGGCUGCCUUCAGAUGUCUUCUAAAAGUCAGAUAGUUGUUUAUUUCCUUCACAUCUGAUGGGAGGGCAUUCCACAGGGUGGGCGCCACCACCAAGAAGGCCCUCUGCCUGGUUCCCUGUAACCUUACGUCUUGCAGUGAGGGAACUGCCAAAAGGCCCUCAGAGCUGGACCUCAGUGUCCCAGCUGAGCAAUGGAGGUGGAGACACUCCUUCAGGUACAUGUGACCCUCCAGACGUUGCUAGGUUCCAGCUCCAGUCAGCUGCAGCCUGAAUGGCUCAUGGCCAGGGAUGAUGAAAGUUAUAGUUUGGCAACAUCUGGAGGGCUGAAGGUUCCCCACACUUGAGCUAAGGGCUCCAACAUUAUUUUUCUAGCCUUCAGGUAGAUUUUGAGGAAUUUGAAUAGCAUUGUUUGGCAGAAUAUGGAAUGACAAAACAGGUGGGUUAGCAAGUGAAUAGCUGGAGCAUCUGGUAUCCAGGUUUUGAUCUAAAUUCCCCAAAUUUCUCCUUUUCUGUAGUGGGGGGCAGGCUUGAGGGCUCAUGGCUCACAGAUGCUGUUCACAGGUCAAAUCUGAUUGUAGUAAGAAACUCUCUCAGUAGCCUUGGUCAAGCCACUUUCUUUUGACCUCUGCCCCAUGUGCAGUAUAUGGGUGAUAAUGUUGCUGUAACCCUUCCUGAGAAUAGAACAUUUGCAAUGUGCUCUAUAAAUGCUGGUUACUGUUCUUCUGUUCCACUGAAUACCAGAUGGGUAGCAAGGGAUUGCCACUGUUGUCAUUAGGGAUAUUGGGAAAUUUUGCCAGAAAUGGAAACAGGAGCAGAAAUUCCCACAAUUCACAUGUUCCUUAAAGUUCAGUAUAGUGGUACCUCGGGUUACAGACGCUUCAGGUUACAGACGCUUCAGGUAACAGACUCCGCUAAUCCAGAAAUUGCACCUCGGGUUAAGAACUUUGCUUCAGGAUGAGAACAGAAAUCGCGCAGCGGCAGCACGGGGGCAGCGGGAGGCCCCAUUAGCUAAAGUGGUACCUCAGGUUAAGAACAGUUUCAGGUUAAGAACGGACCUCCAAAACGAAUUAAGUUCUUAACCCGCUCGGGUUACCACUGUAACACAAAACAUGCAAGCAAAGACUAACAAGUAUUUGCUUCUUUUUUUAGUCCACAAACUACAUAAAUAAUUACUCUCUUUUUCACAUUAUUUUCAGUGUUUCCCUUCCAAUGAAAUUAAUGAUUUAAUUAAUUAUGUAAAUCUCAGCCAUAGCAGAGAGCCAGAUAAAUAGGUUUAAGCAAAAGACAAAUGAUUGCAGAACAGAAAUGGAGCUGAUUUUUUUUUAAAAAGUAUUUUUUUAUUAAAGAUUUCUUGGUUUACAAAAGUAUGUGCAAUGUCUCUUUUUUCAAGUUACAUUUUCUACAGGUCAGUUUCAUUUGUUGAGACAUUAGUGUUACAUUAGGAAGAAAGAGGGGAAGAGGUGGAGGGGGAAAGGCGAGGGGGGUGGGCGGUUGGCGGUGUUUCUAUUUUACUUAAUGUGUGGGGUUUUGUGUCAGCGUCGUUUGUGCAGGUUCUCUUUGCUAUUUGCUUGUGUUCCUUUGGUGGUGAGAGAAGUUGGGGUUGGCCUAGAGUGUGAUUGCUUGUUUGGCUGUGAUGAACUUUGUUUUCAUGUGUGAGUGGGGUGGGUGGGUGUUUUGGAUCAGGUUAGCCAUAUUGAUUUGUAUGCUGUUGGUGGAUUCUUGUCGUUGUCUUGUUGGGCUGCGUAUGUGAUAAAGAGGAGCCAUACCAGGGCAAAGAUAUCUUCUUCUAUUUGUCCCCGUGUCAGUUUCAGUUUAUUGGUUAAUUUCUCUAGUAUUAUUUUUUUAAAAGAUUUUCUUGUUUUACAGAAAUGUGUGUAAUGUCUCUCAUAUUUUUUCCAUGUAACAUUUUUACUAAUCAGUUUCAUUUGUUGAGACACUGGGGGUGGGGAAGGGGUGGAGGGGGGAAGAUGGAUGGGGGUGGGGUCGGGUGACGAUGUUUCUAUUUUGCUUAAUGUAUGUAGGGUUUGGUGUCAGGAUUGCUUGUGCAGGUUCUCUGCUGUUCAUUUGUGUUUCUUUGGUGGCGAGAGAGGUUGGGGUUGGCCUAGGGUGUGGUUGUUUGCUUGUGAUAAUAAUAAUAAUUUAUUAUUUGUACCCCGCCCAUCUGGCUGGGUUUCCCCAGCCACUCUAGGCGGCUUCCAACAAAGAUGAAAAAUACACUAAAAUGUCACAUAUUAAAAACUUCCCUGAACAGGGCUGCCUUCAGAUGUCUUCUGAAUGUCAGGUAGUUGUUUAUCGCUUUGACAUCUGAUGGGAGGGCGUUCCACAGGGCAGGCGCCACUACCGAGAAGGCCCUCUGCCUGGUUCCCUGUAACUUGGCCUCUCGCCGUGAGGGAACCGCCAGAAGGCCCUUGGAGCUGGACCUCAGUGUCCAGGCAGAACGAUGGGGGUGGAGACGCUCCUUCAGAUAUACUGGACCGAGGCCGUUUGGCUGUGGUGAUCUUUGUUUUUGUGUGUGAGUGGGGUGGGUGGGUGUUUUGGGUCAGGUUAGCCAUACUGAUUUGUAUGCUGUUGGUGGAUUCUUGUUAUUGUCUUGUUGGGCUGUGUAUGUGAUAAAGGGGAGCCAUACCGGCGUCUUCUUCUCUUUGUCCCUGUGUCAGGUUCAGUUUAUUGGUUAAUUUUUCUAGUAAGGCUGUUUUCCAUACUAUUUGGUACCAUUGGUCCAUGCUUACUCCUGACAGGUCUUUCCAGUGUCUGGUUAUGGUGUUUCUGGCUGCUGAAAGUAGGUGGGUUGUGAGUUCUUUGUGGUGUAAAUGGGCAUUGUUGUCUUGGAAGAUGUUUAGGGCCAAUUCUGGGGUGGUGGCUAAUACUUGCUUAGUUAUUUUACAUAUUUCUCGUAUGGCUGUUGUCCUGAAUAGUUGGAUUUUGGGGCACUCCCGCCACAUGUGGAGGUAUGUGCCUGUGGAGGUGCACCCUCUCCAGCAUUUUGGUGAGGUUCCUGGGCGUAUUAGUGCUAGUUUUCUUGGUGUUAGGUACCACUUGUAGGUGUUUCAGAGUGAGUUCUUUUCUUUUCGUUGAUAUGGAUUUAAAGGGGGGUUUAGACCACAUUCUGGUCCAUUGAGUGGGGUUAAUCUCAUAGGCUAUGUCAUUCUCCCAUUGUUUUUUGAUUGCGUCUAGGGGGUUUGUGGGAUUUUGGAGUAGUAUUUUGUAUAUUGCAGAUACCAUCCCUUUACCGUUUCCCUUUGUUGUUAGGAGAAGGUUUUUGAAGGUUGUCAGGGGCCUAGUUGCUGCUGAUUUUACUGUUGGGUUGUUUAAGAGGGCAUGUACUUGGUGUUGUGUUAACCAGGGCAUUUGGGUGUCUUCUAGUUUGUCUUGUAUUUCUUGUGUUGACAAAGGUUUGUUAUUUUUAUAAAAGUCUAUUAGGCGAUAUAAGCCUUUGGUUUGCCAGGUUUUUAUCUGGAGGUUUUGUGCCGCAUGGUAGAAUAAUGGGUGGUACGCCAGGGGAAUUAGUGGGGAUGGGGUUGUGGAUAGUUUGCCUAUUUCUGUUUUCCAUGCUUUGAGCAUGGUCUGUGUGUACCUGUUAAGUGUUGUGGGAAUUUUCUUUAGUUUGUUUGGGAGGAGUGGGUAUGCUGUGGUGCACGUAUUUUCAAUUGUGUCCCUCUCUAGGUGUACCCAUUGUUUUGUCUCAUCUUCGAGUAUAUAUGGGAUUAUAUGGCAUAUUUGGUUGGCAAUGUAAUAUGCUUCUAUGUUGGGGAUUCCCCAUCCUCCUUCUGAGGUGGGGAGGUGCAGGUAUUUGGGGCUUAUCUUUUGUUUUUUAUGUGAGAAGAUAAAAGAGUGUAGUUUUCUCUGCCAACUGCAGAGUUGGGUUGGGGGAAUCCAGACUGGGAGGGUUUGGAAUAGGUAGGUUAGUUUGGGGAGGGUGAUCAUUUUGAUCAUGGCUAUUUUGUCUGAGAGAGUGAAAUUCAUGUUGUUCCAUCUCUUUAGGACUUUGUUAAUUUGUCGCCACAGGGGCUUGUAGUUGUGGAGGUACAAUUUAUUGAGGUUUCUGGUUAUUUGUACCCCUAGGUAUCUGAACUUGGUGUGGCAAAGUUUUAUUUUGGUGACCUUCGUGAGUUCUUUUUGGGUGUGAGGAGGGGUGUUGAAGCACAUAGCUUCUGACUUUGUAAAAUUUACCUGUAGACCCGAGACCAUUGCAAAUGUGUUGAGUUCUCUGAUUAGGGAGGUUACUGUGCUUAUGGGGUCUGGUGUUGUGACCAUUAGGUCAUCUGCAAAGAGCCCUAAUUUAUAUGUUCUGCCUUUUAUUUCCACUUCCUUGAUGUCUGUGGCUGCUCGGAUUCGGAUUGCUAAGGGUUCCAGAGCCAGGAUAAAUAAGAAGGGAGACAGUGGGCAUCCUUGUUUCGUGCCUCUUUGGAUAGCUAUAGUAUUAGAAUCCAUAUUGUUAGUUCUGCAUUUUGCUGAGGCUUGGGAGUAUAUUUGUUUGAGGAUUUGUAAGAAGUUGGGGUCAAAUUUCAUGUUAGUUAGUACUGCUAAUAUGUAUUUCCACUCUAAGCAAUCAAAGGCUUUGAGGAUGUCUAGGGACAUAAUUGUCAAUGGGAGUUUGGUUGCCUUGCUGUGUUCGAUCAGGUUCAGUAGUUUCCUGAUGGGGUCUGUUAUAUUGUGGCCAGGGAUGAAGCCAGUCUGAUCUGGGGCUAUUAACUUGUGUAGGAAUUUUUUUAGGCGAUUAGCCAAGAUUGAUGUGAAUAUCUUGUAGUCUUGAUUUAUUAAUGAGAUUGGGUUGUAUGAUUCUACUUUGAGGUCUUUCAGUGGUUUUGGGAUGGAGACUAUUUUGGAGUAGGUCCAGGUUUGAGGGAUAGGCCCCCCUUUUAUGAUGUCAUUGAAUAGACGGGUCAUGUAGGGCAUCAGGGGUUCUUUGAAUUUCCUAUAGAAUUCUGCUGUAAAACCAUCUGGGCCUGGGGCUUUGUGUGGCUUCAGGUUUUUGAGGCCCGUAUCUAUUUCCUCUGGGGUGAUAGGACUGUCCAUGAAUUCCUGUUCCUCAUUGGUUAAGGUAGGCAUGGUCAGUCCUGCUAGGAAUUUUUUGAUUUCCUCCUCAGGUGGGUUAGGAGAGGUGUAUAGGUUGGAGUAUAGGGACCGCUUACCAGCGGGAAGGUAAAUGGCGUUCCGUGUGCUGUGCUGGCUCACCAGAUGCAGCUUGUCACGCUGGCCACGUGACCCGGAAGUGUCUGCGGACAGCGCUGGCUCCCGGCCUAUAGAGUGAGAUGAGCGCACAACCCUAGAGUCUGUCAAGACUGGCCCAUACGGGCAGGGGUACCUUUACCUUUAUAGGUUGGAGUAAAAUUCUGCAAAUUCUGAGGUUAUUUCUUUGGGGGAGAAUGUUAUGUUGCCGUCUUUUUUGGUGAUGCAGUGUAUUCUUGUUUUGAGUGCUUUUUUCCUACACCUAUUUGCUAAUAGUCUGGAGUUUUCUCUUUUAUGCAAGCUCCUCUGGUGACCACUUUCAUUGUGUCCCAUAGGAGGAGGGUUGUCAUAUUGUCUACAUCAUUUUCCUUGAAGUAGUUCUGGAGACUUUUUUGAGACUCUCUCUAAUUUGUUUAUUUGUGGUUAGGAUGGGACUGAAGGACCAUGAUAGGGUGGUUUGUGUUCCCUCUCCUAUUUUAAGGGUAACUUCUACUGGGGCGUGAUCUGUGAUUUUAAUGUUACCUAUGUUCAUUGAUUCCACUGAGGGGAUCAGACCCUCUGUGAGCAGAAUGCUGUCCAGUCUGGACACUGUGCCAUGGCAUCCGGACUGGAAUGUGUGGCUGGUGUCUCCCGGGUUUUGUUCACCCCAAUUAGAGUCCCUAAUUGUUAGGGGUUUCCUUCAGAGAAAGGUUGCCCAUGGGGUUGUGGGGUGGGUAUCUUUCAGUGAUAUGCCUUUCACAUUUGAGGUCACCUCCCAGGAUUGCUUCCCCUUCGGAGAAGAAGAACUUGUUUAGUGUUUUCUGGACGAAGUCUAGUUGUUUUGAGUUUGGGGCAUACAUGGAGCCGAUUGUCAGUUGAGUUUUGCCAUCUAGUGUCCCUUUAGCGAAAAUGAAUCUGCCUCUUUUGUCUUUUAAGACUGUCGUGGCUUUGAAGUUCAGGUCUCUACUAAGUAUUAUGGCUACUCCGCAGGCCUUCCCUGAGCCAGUUGCAACCCAUUGUUGACUGAAGCGGGGGUCACUCAAGAGUUUGCUCCCUUUGGGUGGGUUGUGUAUUUCCUGUAGGAAGGUGAUGUAUGGUUUUAUGGUGUUGAUAUACAAGGUGAUGUGUUUUCUUUUGAUGGGGUUUCCCAACUCCCUCACAUUUAAUUUAAUUGCUUUUAAGCUAGUCAUCUUGCUUAUCUACUAUAUAGGGUGAUUCCCUGCCAACCCAUUUGGGUUGCCCUGUCUCUCUCACCUUGGGUUGUCUAUCGAACCAAUGAAGUUGCACUGACCUAGAGUGUAGUGGGUGGGGGAGUAGGGGGUUAGAAUUAGGUUUGGGUUAAAGAGUGGAGUGUAGAUUGCAGAAAGUAUCCUAUAUGUAGUCAUAUAGGUGUUUAAUUGGGGUAUCAUGGGCCAUCUGGCAUUUAGCUGGUGUGGAGGUCUCAGCUGGCGUGGAGGGCCUUGUUCAAGGACAGACCAUCCUUCCUGUUGUUUGCGAUAGGGAGUAGUCAGUGAGACGGUGUUAAGCACCUUUGUGACACCAAUGUUGUGUAUAGGCAUAAGCAAUGUUUUCAGUGUUAUUUACAACAUCAUUGGUGUGUUGGGGUGGGGAUGUGGGUGUUGGUACGCUCUGGCACCACCAUUGUGCUGGUGGAGUGUCAGAUUUUGGCCUGUUUGUGGGUUGUUUUCUUGAGGUUGGGGGAGUUAUUUCAGUAUAGUGUAGGGGGGUGCUGGAAGUGUGAGUUGUGGGUUGUUGGGUAAUGGGUAAUGUGAUUUGAUGUCAUCUGGACUGGUGUUGGGGUGGGGAUCUCUGUGGAGUUGUAGGGUUGGGGGGGGAUUGAUGGUGUUAGCUAUAUUUAUGGCAUGGGGGAGAGGAAAAGGGGGAUGGGUUCACCAGUCCCUCAGUUGGAGGUGAUUUCCGGUUGCUUCGUUCAGCUGUGGUUGUUGUUUCAGGGUUGUCAUUCUAUGAUGUGUUGGUUUGGUUGAUCUGGUUGAGGUUGGUUUGGUGUCUUGUGCUGUAUAUUCGGUGGAACGAUUCUGUGUGUGGUGCUUGACUGUAUUGGUUUGCAUUGUUGUGUCGCUUCUGUGAUUUCUUUUUCCUCUUUACUAUCAUCCAAUCACUUGUUGUUGUUUCAUCAUGAUCUUGGCUUUCACUUGGUUGGUCUGCCAUUCUGGUGGAGGGUCGAGUCCGAGGUUCUUCAGCAGUUACAGGGCUUCAGGUAUGUUGGUAGCCGUGUGUUCUUUUGUGCUGCUUGUUACGAUGAAGUGGAAAGGGAAGCCCCAUCAGUAUUUGAUCCCUUUUUGUUGGAGACGUUGGGUGCAUGGGCGUUGGCUUCUCCUCCAGUUUGAGGUUGUUCCAUACUUCUUCUUUUUUGUAAUGUUGCGAAGCACACAACGAUGUUGGGGGGGGGCGUUGGAUUUUGGCAUAGGUUUUAGAGCUCUGUGAGCCCUCUCCAGGUCGUCUACCUCGAGUGUCAGGUUUGGGAUCAUGGUUUUUAGCCAGCGUACAAUGAGGUCUGCUGGGCUUUACUCCUCCACUUUUUGGGGAAAGUUGCGGAAGUGGAUGUUGCUAUGUCUACUGCGAUCUUCAAGGUCCGCUUGUUUGAUUCUCAUUUCUGUGCUUUCUGUUUCCAGGUGGUUUACCAGUUCAGCCAAUUUCUUAUUCACAUGUGUGUUCUCCUCUCGGUAUUGCUCUAUUAUUCUUUCUUGCAUUUGGUUCUUGUUCUCUAGAGGGGAGCCACUGUGACCUUCAGUAUUUCUGCUAAUCUCAUUUCCAUUUCCCUCAGAUCUCAUUUCGUUGUUGGGUGGUCGUCAUCUUGAAGGGGUGCUGCGGGCUCAGCACUGUUUGCCAUCUCCCUGGUUGGUGUCAUCUCACUCUCCCUAGUGGUUUUGGUUUGAGAUCUGCUUGGCGUCCUCUUGGGGUGGGGUGUGUUAUGAUUGGGAGUUGUGGUGAUGAUGGUUCCUGGGUGUUGUUGUGUUGUUGAGCUGGGCAGGCGUUGUUGACUGGUGCCUUUUACAGAGUGUUGGGAUUAGGCAGUCAUUUUUGUCACCUCUGGGCUGCAUUUCAAGGGCUUCUCUGGGGUUUCCGUAGAUGCCUCAGUGGUGUUGGCGAAGCAGGGAAUAGACAAGCAGACAGACAAGUAGACCAACAGACAAACAGUUGACAUAGAGGGGUAACAGGCUGAGAUGUAAGAGACUGGUGAAGUGGGGCCAGGGGAGGAUGGGGGGUUAUUUGUGGGUAUCCCUGUGCACACACACCUACAGGCUCAUGCACACACUGGGGGGAAGUGAGGUCCAGUUAAGGGUGGGAAAGGGGAUUAGGGAUUUGUAGUAGAAAGUUAAAAUUUAAGACUGGUAAGGUUAUGUACUAAGCUUUGAUCCUUUUUCAAUUUUUUUUAUUGAAAGUUAUAACAAAACAUAUUAUCCAAAAACAUAUACUUAUUCCCCUCCCAUUUUUCCUCCCUCCCCCCUCCCCCCCCACAAACCCAUCCCCCCACCCCACCCCCCGACUUCCCUCAGUUCCAGUCUUUGGUUUCUCCAAUAAUGCUAUUUUCUGCAUGUUACAAAGUUGUAUAGAUCCUCAAACCGUUUAGCUAAUUAUUAUCAGUAAAAAAAAAAAUUGUGAAUGUUUAUUCAAAACCUGCCAAGGAGUCCAGUUCGCGUCUUCAGAUACUUUGUGAAAGGUUCCCAUUCAUCCUUAAAGUCACAGUUAUCCUUGUCCCGUAGCUUAUAUGUCAAUUUUGCCAGUUCUGCAUAGUCCAUCAAUUUUUCUUGCCAUGAUUCUUUAGUUGGGGUUUCUUCAGUCUUCCAUCCUUGUGCUACCAGAACUCUCGCGGCCGUUGUCGCAUACAUGAAGAUGUUUUUCAACUUUUUUGGCAGGUCUUUCCCUACAAUCCCCAACAAAAAUGCCUCGGGUUUUUUAACAAAUGUUAAAUGGAACAUUUUCUUCAAUUCAUUGUGUAUCAUUUCCCAAAUUUUUAAAAUUACUUUACAAUCCCACCACACAUGAUAAAAUGUCCCCUCCUUUUCCUUACACUUCCAACAUAUAUUUGAACUAGUUUUGUACAUUUUCCCUAACUGCACUGGUGUUGUGUACCAUCUGUACAUCAUCUUCAUGUAAUUUUCCUUCAAUAGGGAACAAUCUGUAAAUUUUAAGUCAGUUUUCCAUAAUUUAACCCAAUCUUCCAUCAUAAUGUUGUGACCUACAUCUUGUGCCCAUUUAAUCAUAACUGAUUCUACCUCUUCAUCUUUCAUCUCCCAUUUGAAUAGUAUGCUGUAUGCAGCCUUCGGUAGUUUCACUUUCCCUUCAAUCACUUCCGUUUGAAACCUAGAUCUAGUAUAACUAAAUCCUUUCUUACUGUCUUCUUUAUAUGUUUCAUAUAGUUGUCGAUAAUGCAACCAACUCUGAAAGUGGUCUUUGAUCUCAUCAUAAUCUCUUAAUUUCCAUUUUCCAUCAUGUUCCUUUAAUAAAUCAGCAUAUGUGAGCCAUUUUCCUUUCUUUCCAAGUGGUUUGAGCAGUAAUGCUUCAUGUGGUGAGAGCCACCACGGGGUCUUUUGUUCCAAUAAGUCUUUGUAUCUGUCCCAUACUCUCAUUAAUGAUUUCCUAAUUAUAUUUUUUUUAUAAUUAAUAUUUAUUAAAGUUUCAGAAAAAAUAAAAUCACAUUAAUAAACACAAAAAUUUUACAAAAUACAAAGUACAGAAUAGAAAAAGGUAAAAAAAGAAAAAAGAAAAAAGAAAGAAAAAACAGUUAAAAAUAAUUCCGUCCUUUCAUAACCUCUUUUAAAUUUACUUAUUUCCCGGACUUCCUCAUACCUCCCUCUUUUGUAUUCCAUUUCAGUUUGUAAACCCAGCAAUUUCUUAUCCUCCUUUUUAAUUCCAGUCCUAAAUCUUGAUAUAUUAUGACAUUAGAUUUUUACCUAUUUGAACCAAUUUUUCCAUUUCUCUUAGUUUUUUUGGUCCUAAUCCUUAAUCUUGAUACAUUUAUAGCCUUAAAACCUGUUCAGCUAGAAGCCACUUAACUUCAAUCCAACAUCACUCUAACAUUCAUUAAUUUUGCAGUGUUUCUGUAAAUAAUCUUUAAAUUUCUUCCAAUCUUCUUCCACCGACUCUUCUCCCUGGUCACGGAUUAUUAAUUAUAUGGUUGUAAAAACUUCUAUGAAUCUUCCCUUGCCCGUACCAUAAAUAUGCAUGCCAGCCAAAUCUGUUGUCAUGUCCUUCUAGUUCUAAUGCCUCUUGCUUGUCCAAUCUCAUCCAGUCCCUGAUCCAUACCAAACAAGCAGAUUCGUAAUACAAUUUAAGGUCUAGGAGGGCAAACCCACCUCUAUCUGUAAGUAUUUUAUGUUUUAUCCUUGGCCUUUUGCCCCCUUUUUAAGGUUCUUGUUAUGUACUAAGCUUUGAUCCUAGAACAAUAGGCAGGUAGGAGCCUAGAAUGCAACAACUGAUUGGCCUGCAGGAGAAGACUGCUUCCAGGAGGGAAGCAGAAUCAGCCAUUCAGACGGGACUCAUUGUGUAAAUAAUGUAUAUAAAAGCCUGAGGUUUGGGGGAAAAUUUAAUCACUGUUUUACAAGCUGCAAUAAAGAGCAUGAAAUCACUGCAGGACUCCGAGUAUAUUUCAGUUCUGUUUAGGAACAGAGCAAAACAAAACAGAGACAGAAGGGAAAACGAAAGAGGAAGAGAAGAAAAAGAAGAAGGAGAAAAAAGAAGAAGGAAGGAAGGAAGGAAGGAAGGAAGGAAGGAAGGAAGGAAGGGGGAAUGGAGGGGAAAUUAGGGUAAAAUAUACAAAUAUACAAUAAAGGGGAGAGAGAGGAAGAGAGAGGGGAAAGGGGGGAAGAAUAGUGGUAAUGGUGAUAAAAGAUUUGUCGCGCUGGUCCAAGUAUGAGGUGGGGAGAUGUGUGUGUGUGUGUGUGUGUGUUGGUGUGUGGGUUUUGUUAUUAGUUUGCGGGGAGGAGAGAACAGAAAGGGGAGGGGAGGGUAGGAGGCUUAGGGGUUGACUAGGUUGGACUAGGUGGCCCUUGGGGUCCCUUCCAACUCUACAAUUCCAUGAUUCUAUGGUUCUAUGCCUACUCCAUUGCACAGGGUGUUCAUGCAUGGACACCCCCCACCCCACCCAUCCCAUCUGCAUCAUUCUUCUGCUGCUGGGUCUCGACUGAGGUUUCCCUGGGUUUGUACCAUCUGCUCCUACUUUGUUUCCAAACCUGAGCCAAGUUGGCACUAGCAUCAUCUGCUUUCUUGAUAUUUAAAAGAAAGCAUUUCUCUUAACUCUGUUCUGCUGUGGUUGCAUGUUCUGUAUUAAUGACCAUAAUCAAACAAAAGGCUGAUGGCAGGGGGAGAAAAAGAAUAAAGGAAAGGGACCAUCUACAUACAAUCUAUGGCAAGAGGCUGUGGGAAGAAAUGAUAUAUUUUCUGGAGAAGAUUGAUGAGAUUCAGUCUGAUAUGUUGUAAAACGAUUUCUUUUAUAGAUGAAGCCAACUAUCAAGCCACUUGACACCUGACUGUCGUGGUUUGAACAGUCCACUUAGCAGGUAAGUGCCUGGAAGACAACAUGCAGAAGGUUCACAGAUCUGGUUUUCCCCUGAAGCAAAAGGCACAGCAGUAAUGGACCGUGACCAAAGUGGAUUAGCCUCAAGAGCAGAUGGGGCAUCAUUGAGAUGGGAUCUGGGAAUGAGGGGGCAAAACCUAGAGGUGGUAGAUGGCCUCCAGCAACAUGUGUGGAAUCACAUGUUUAAAAAUGUUAUCUUACAUAAUAUAACAACUUUAAAAGGAACUUUAAAACCAUUCCUGUUCACCCAGACAUUUGAUGGCAGAAAGAAACUGUUUAAAUUAUUAGCUGUGAGGGUGUAUGAUUGUUUUCAAAAUUGUUAAAUGUUUGAAUGCUUUUAAUUUUUUUAUGUUUUUUUAAUGUUUUAAUUUUUUUAUUUUAUUUUAAAUUCUAUUGUUUUACUGCUUGCUUGAUUGGAGGAAGAGUAGAACUAAAGAAAAGAAAAAGAUCAGAGAUCCAAAGCAAUUAUUAACAUUAAAAGUUUAUUUAAAAAUACCCCAAAUGUACUGAAACAUUCCCCAACUCUCUUUUCCCCCUCUGAUACUUUCUUCUGGCAUUUUUAGUAGGCCAACUGGAUCCUGCAUUUGAUCCUACAAUUUGAUCCUAAUAAGAUGGUCUUAAUUUUGCAGAUUUCAUGAUGGCAAAAGCCCCGAAUACUAUGAAUCAAAUACCCUCCAUAUCAUUUUAAAGCAAAGACAUCACUUUGUGCUUUUUUAUGCUGUUAGGAUACUUCUGAGCAUGGAUUUAGUUGGUGUUAAAGAGUGACUUUUUAAUUGGUGGUGUUAGCAACUUGGAACAUUGUUUAAAUUUAAUUGCUUGCUCCACUACUCAGGGGUCGCUUAGUUCAGGCAGUUAUGAUGAAAUGCAAGAUAAGACAGUAAUUUGAUUUGGUCUCCUUUACAUUGGACGUGGCACCACAAGUCUUGCCAGCUUUGAUUAAGUUAGCACCAAAACCUAAACAUUGAAACUGAAAACUAAAAUUGCAUAUGUAAAGACUAAAGGGAACAGUGUGCUGCUUGUAUCUGUGUUUGUGCAUGCCAGUCCUAGUCUAAACCCAUUUUCAUCCAGGGUGCUCUGCUUAUGAAGGGCAUCGUGGGACUAGCUGGCUGGUAGUUUAUUUUAGACUUUUACUCAGAUUCCUUAAACAAGAAUUGAGGAACUACUUUUCUCCUGAGGGCCAGAUCUGAAUAUGGUCAACAUUUUGGGGGCUCUAUUCCAAUGAUCGGUAGAGCCAGAAGCAGAAAUGGGAGGGGCAAAUGGGGCCUGCACAAAAUUGCUGUGCUAUUAUGGGUACAAAACAGCAGUGGCAUGGGAAUUAAUAGUAAUUCUCUCUCUCUCUCUCUCUCUCUCUCUCUCUCUCACACACACACACACACACACACACACAUCCAAGCCACAUUCCCCCCCUUCACAGUGCAGGUCGUCUGAUCCACAACCAGUCACACACUUGCACAGGGCCCUUUUCACACUGUGCAGCUGAUCCUCAAAACAGUCACAGCCCACAUCACCUCCAUCCUGGACAUGACAGAGUGGACAUGCAAAGUCACGGCUUUGUUCUUGGAUUCCAGAAGGAGCUGGAAGCAUAGCUGAACUCCUGCUACUGCUUGUUUAUUUUAAUUAAUUGAUUGAUUAAAAACAUAUCUACCACCUGCAUCUCACAAGCAUCCGGUUGGCCACCCUAAGAACAGGUUGUUAGACUAGAUGAAGCAUUGGCGUGAUCCAGCCAGGCUGUGUGUGUGUGUGUGUGUGUGUGUGUGUGAUCAAAGGAAAUCUGUGACAGUGGGCAUGCACAUCAUUUGUUUAAGAUAUAGAAGUUAAUGAUUUGCCACUUUAAAAUAUUCAUAAUAUCAAUGUUAAAAACAAUGCACAAGCAGCUCUUUUAAUUUACAGGCCAAAAGGGAAUCGAGCAGAAACAAAACACAUACACAGAACCAGUGAGCAAGAACAUAGGCAUAUUCUUCUAAUAUGCUCUAAGUUGCUAAUGAGAGGAGCGGGGGAGUCACAAGCUUAUUCUGAAAGCAUAGAUCAUUUCUCACAAAUCGCCCUUCGCCAUCCAAGGGAUCAGUCUUCAUGCUUGAAGUCUAACAAUCCCAUCAGGCGUGUUUUCCUUGAAACACGCCGCUAUCUUAGUAAUCACGUCAGUAAGUAAAUGUGUUCCAGCCUUCCCCUCUGAUGAUAUUUUCCCCUGAUCUCUAAGAAUGCAUAUUUAUUUGCAGCCAGCCUAGAGGGGCAUGGCCCCCUUUCCUCGAUCAGCCUCCAUCAUAUGCAAUGCUGAAUUAUUUGUUUGAAGGCUGCCCAAGUUUAAUGGGCCAAUUGAAAACUUAUAAGAAGAGGCGCUAAUUGGCUUAGCGGAAAGCAAAAGCCCAGGCAGGGUUUUCGGUGCUGGGCCCCAUCAGUCUUAUCAAUUUGCUGGAGCUGACAGCAAAGGAUGAUUUGAGGCACGGAUGGCUAUUAAUCAUAGCGCUUGCUGAAUUCACAAAUGCCAGGAAGGGCCCAUCAGAAGGAUCUGCAGGAAAGCGAGAAACGUUAUGACUUAUUUCUCUGUCGGUGAAGGUGGCGUCUAUCCUCACCUGCGGAAGUGCAGGGAGGGGCCAGGGGCUGGAGUCCUUUUUUUCCUGGCACAUGAAUGUUCUCGGUUCAUCUGCUGCUGAUACUGCUCUGUUGACAAGAAACAUGGGAGAAAGGAGCAGGAGUCAAAUAGGUCCUCCUAGGGAACGGACCAUUUAGGCAUUCUCACCAGUGCCAUCAGGGUGGGAAUUUACAGCAGGAGUCCAGGGCUUCGCGUAGCAGAAUAAGCAGGUGUGGCCCCCAAGCACAGCAGGGCUAGCUUUAGUUGAAUUUAUGGGAGGGGGCACAUAGCUCAGUGGCAGAGCAUCUCCUGGUAGGGCUGGGAGAGUCCCCCUGUCUAAAAUCCUGGAGAACCACUGCCACUCAAGGAAGACAAUGCUGAGCUAGAUAGUGUCAAGGAGCUGUCAGGGAGCCAGGUCGGCUACAGAGCAGGCACACACACAGAAGGCAUGGGAUGCAGUUCACUCUUUAUUGGGGGGGGGGGACAACACAGUAAGUUACCCAGUGAGAUUGCUGGCCAAGUGGGGACUUGAGCCCUGGUCUCUGAUGUCCUAGUCCAACACUCUAACUACUACACCACACUGGUGAAUGACUUACAAAUUACUAUCUAAAGUAAGUUACAUCAUAUACAUGACUUUACCAUAUAUGGUGGGUGCCCAUUAAGUCCAGAGUGGAAUAUUAUCCAACCUGCACCACUGGGCAUCCUUCACUAGAAAUCAGGGCUGCAUAGUAUCCUCUUAGCUCACCUUCCUGGACUAUUAGUUUGGCUCAGAUACAGUCCCUGUAUCUCAGGCUCCCUUAAUCCUCUUCUUACAAUAUCAAGAGCAACAUGCAGAACUGGCCUUAGCAGGGCAAAAUAGCCAGGGCAAAAUAAGGUAUUGAUUAAACAAAAUUGUGAUAUAUUUGGUAAGUGGAACAUGGUUUGAGUGAUAUAAAAAGAAAACAGACAACAGAUGAUAAAUCAUGGCCUGCUAACCUCCUGUUUAAUACAUAAGAGUCCACUGACUUCACUAAUUCAUGUUAUAAUAAGGGAUGGGGGGGCAGAAUCCAGUUCUGUUUGGAUUUAAACCUAUCUAAAUUGCCCUUGCUCAAAUAAGCUGAAAUGCAGGCCUGCAAAAUUUGCACUUAGCUGAAUUUUGCAAACGCUGUGCACAAAAAUGUGUGUACACUGUGUAUUAGGCUAGAGUACAUAAAACACAUGUUGUUAAAAAUAACAUCCAAAAAGUGCAUAAGUUUAGCCAAUAUUAGGGAAAAUGGCUUGCACAGACAUGUACAUUGGGCAAAAUUGCAUACCAAAAGAAGAUUCAGGCUAAUCUCCCAGUGAAAUAACUGGGGAGUGGGGGUGAGGGUUGCUAAGAGAGGUAGGUAAGUCUUCAGACUAAAAUGCUGGUGAAUGAGGACUUCAGCUAAAAAAAUUAAGAACUGGUCUGGCAAUGUGAACUUGAGUCUGGAAAAAAUGAAAAGCAGAAAAAAACUGAAAUUGACAGAUUUGUCCAUCACUACUUAGAAUGCAAAAGGAUUGGAGCUUGGCAGAAAUGCAGGAUCUGUGCAGGACGUUGGCUCCGUUUGUGUGAUG
rnacentral:lncRNA from 1 species